GAGAUGACCCAUAGUACCCCAUUCCUUGCUGCAAUGUAAUUACAAGUGUGCUCCUGGUGGUCUUUAACUGAAGGGCACUGACUGGGUCACUGGUGAAGUUCCCCGCAGGAACUGAGUCAGACCCCAUCUCAGGGCCCUGCAGAAGAUAGGUGCCUGCUCUAAGGCGUGGACCCUCGCGACAGCCCUGGCCCGUCUUGACGGGCGAGGGUUACUGUACUUGUCCCAACCGUACAGAUGAGAAAGCUGAGAUUCAGGGCCAGCAACCCCGUUUCAGCGGAGCGCCUGGCACGCGCCGACUCUUCAGCACCAGUCGCGGUGGCCACCACUGUGCGCGGAGAUGGCUGCGACGCGUGCGCAGGUGAAAUGGCCAGCAGACCCAGGCUUUCUGGAAUGCAUUCAUUUUCUGCAGUUGAAAGGGACGAUCCCGGAUCUGAAAGAAAGAGCCACAGUGACUCCAAGAGUGGAGCAAGGGCAUGCUGGACACUGCAUAGCUAUGGCCACAUGUGUCACCUCCGAGGGAGAUGUGAGAGAAACGCAGAGGGAUCGCUUGUGACUGUGCCUUCUCGAUGUAUGUUGGACUGUUCUGCUCAAAUAGCAGCAGUAGGGCUGAUUGGAGCCAUUGUACGUGUCGGGAACAUAUCAGAACACCGAGAAUAGCGUCAUGUCAUAAGGACUCAGAGCAGGUGGACCCUGCUGUGAUGCACAAAGAGGACCACGCAAGAUAUGAUAAAGAUCUAUGUCACUGAAUUUUGGUUCAAUUUUUGUAUCUCAGCUUCCCGGAAAUAAAAAAGAAUUCUAACAUUCAUACUUUCAGUAUUUUAUGUGAGAGGUUUUGUUGUCAAAAUCAAGUCUGAGAGCAAUGUUUAUUGGGGUCUUUAAUUGGAGUCACCAAGCGAUAAAGGGGACAUUGUCCUCAACAAUAAAACUAUAAUAAA
rnacentral:lncRNA from 1 species